rnacentral:tRNA from 1 species
UAUGAUAUGCCUGAAUAAAGGGCUAUUUUGAUAGAAUAGAUUAUAUAAGAUUUUUAUUAUCAUAA